UCCCUCUCUCCCUCUUUACCAUUUCCAACAAAAUCCCCAAAUAACAAAAAAUCCCUAAUUCCCGUCGCUCAUCUCCAACACUCCGCCAGCCACCACCGCCGCUGUCUUCUCGGCGGAAUUCGCCGCUGCUGUCGCCGGGAGGACGCUGCUGUUGUCGCCGAUUCAUCCAGCCGCUGCCUCUAUUAGAAGCCGCUGCUCCGUCGUUGCCUCGCUCUUCGGUAUUGCUCGUCGUUGGCUGCACCAAUCGACCUGUUCGAGCAGCAGCUGUAGCCGUUUCCGAAUCUGCCGCUGCCACUGUUAUCUCCAUCGCGAACAACCGCUGCUGUCAGCACUGCACUCCGCAUCGCCGUCUCGCGGUUGGCUGCUGCUCGAGCAGUUAUGAGUUGCUGGUCGGUAGCUCCUCCGUCGCCCGACGCCGCUUGACUGUCGUACUACCCCGAACGUGUUCUAGCAGCCAUCGUUCAUCACCGAACCCACCCGAAACGUCCCGUAACCAACCCGAACAGCCGCGCACAACCCCGAAACAACCCGCAAGAUAAGUUCUCAUUCAAAGUUAUAUUCUUUUUGGCGUUUGGAUUUAAGGUGUUAGAUUAAUUUGUUUGAUCGGAUUACUUGUGGGAUUAAUGUGUGAUGAUAUGCUAUGAACGAUGUUAAAAGUUCAUGAUUCGGGAAAGGGAAAGAAAUUAUACCUAGCGAUGUAAACUUGGGUGUUGAAUUGAGGAAAAGAAUUGAUUGUGGAAGAUGGAAGGUGGAAGGUUACUUGAAAAUGGAGAGUCUCCAUGGAGUGGAGAAGUUGGCGUAGGAGAAGAGAGGAAAGGGUUUUGAGCUUGUACAAAAUUUUCUAUGAAUAAAUUGGGCCCAAAGACAUCUCUAACAACUUUAAUUAAAUUGUUUGGGCUCAUUUAGUUGGAGAGCCCAAAUUUGUAUAAUUAUUUAUUUGUUGGACUUUUUCGCUUGUCAUGGCCCAAAGCCAUUUUUAUAAAAAUAUUUGGACUCCAAUUUUAUUUGAGAAGACCAA